rnacentral:rRNA from 1 species
AACGAACGCUGGCGGCAUGCCUAACACAUGCAAGUCGAACGAGACCUUCGGGUCUAGUGGCGCACGGGUGCGUAACGCGUGGGAACCUGCCCUUAGGUUCGGAAUAACUCCCCGAAAGGGGUGCUAAUACCGGAUAAUGUCUUCGGACCAAAGAUUUAUCGCCUUUGGAUGGGCCCGCGUUGGAUUAGCUAGUUGGUAGGGUAAAAGCCUACUAAGGCGACGAUCCAUAGCUGGUCUGAGAGGAUGAUCAGCCACACUGGGACUGAGACACGGCCCAGACUCCUACGGGAGGCAGCAGUGGGGAAUAUUGGACAAUGGGCGAAAGCCUGAUCCAGCAAUGCCGGGUGAGUGAUGAAGGCCUUAGGGUUGUAAAGCUCUUUUACCCGGGAUGAUAAUGACAGUACCGGGAGAAUAAGCUCCGGCUAACUCCGUG